UACAUACUAGCUCAGUGGUAGAGCAUUUCCCUAUUCAGGAAACUGUCACGGGUUCAACUCCCGUAUAUGUGCCCA
rnacentral:tRNA from 1 species